rnacentral:rRNA from 1 species
CCCAAACCGACACAGGUGGUCAGGUAGAGAAUACCAAGGCGCUUGAGAGAACUCGGGUGAAGGAACUAGGCAAAAUGGUGCCGUAACUUCGGGAGAAGGCACGCUGACACGUAGGUGAAGUGGUUUACCCAUGGAGCUGAAGUCAGUCGAAGAUACCAGCUGGCUGCAACUGUUUAUUAAAAACACAGCACUGUGCAAACACGAAAGUGGACGUAUACGGUGUGACGCCUGCCCGGUGCCGGAAGGUUAAUUGAUGGGGUCAGCGCAAGCGAAGCUCCUGAUCGAAGCCCCGGUAAACGGCGGCCGUAACUAUAACGGUCCUAAGGUAGCGAAAUUCCUUGUCGGGUAAGUUCCGACCUGCACGAAUGGCGUAAUGAUGGCCAGGCUGUCUCCACCCGGGACUCAGUGAAAUUGAACUCGCUGUGAAGAUGCAGUGUACCCGCGGCAAGACGGAAAGACCCCGUGAACCUUUACUAUAGCUUGACACUGAACACUGGUCCUUGAUGUGCAGGAUAGGUGGGAGGCUUUGAAGUGUGGACGCCAGUCUGCAUGGAGCCAUCCUUGAAAUACCACCCUUUAAUGGCUGGUGUUCUAACGUGGGCCCGUGAACCGGGUUGCGGACAGUGUCUGGUGGGUAGUUUGACUGGGGCGGUCUCCUCCUAAAGAGUAACGGAGGAGCACGAAGGUUGGCUAAUCCUGGUCGGACAUCAGGAGGUUAGUGCAAUGGCAUAAGCCAGCUUGACUGCGAGCGUGACGGCGCGAGCAGGUGCGAAAGCAGGUCAUAGUGAUCCGGUGGUUCUGAAUGGAAGGGCCAUCGCUCAACGGAUAAAAGGUACUCCGGGGAUAACAGGCUGAUACCGCCCAAGAGUUCAUAUCGACGGCGGUGUUUGGCACCUCGAUGUCGGCUCAUCACAUCCUGGGGCUGAAGUAGGUCCCAAGGGUAUGGCUGUUCGCCAUUUAAAGUGGUACGCGAGCUGGGUUUAGAACGUCGUGAGACAGUUCGGUCCCUAUCUGCCGUGGGCGCUGGAAGAUUGAGGGGGGCUGCUCCUAGUACGAGAGGACCGGAGUGGACGCAUCACUGGUGUUCGGGUUGUCAUGCCAAUGGCACUGCCCGGUAGCUACAUGCGGAAGAGAUAAGUGCUGAAAGCAUCUAAGCACGAAACUUGCCCCGAGAUGAAUCUUCCCUGAGCCUUUAAGGCUCCUGAAGGAACGUUGAAGACGACGACGUUGAUAGGCCGGGUGUGUAAGCGCAGCGAUGCGUUGAGCUAACCGGUACUAAUGAACCGUGAGGCUUAACCUUACAAC